CACAGAGACAUAGACACACACACACACCUACACAGACACACAGAGAUAGACACACACAGAGACUUCGAUACACACACACAGACACAGAGACAUAGACACACACAUGCACGCACAGACAGUGUUUUCCCCUCCUGUUCUUUGGCAGAAGGCCUCGUCCUUCCCACUGUGCUUUCCUGACCCUCUAGUCUGCAGGCCCAUCUGCGGCAGUUUCUAGAGACAGCCCCGUGGUCACUUUUGUCCAUGUGGGACCCCACUGUGUGGCUGGAUCACCAUGCAGUCAGGCCCUGCAGUUUCUAGUCUCGCUUCUACAGACGGCGCUGCAAUGAACAGCUGUUUCUGAUGAGGCCCUUAUUUAGGGCCAAUCCUGGCCUCAUCGCGUCCAGUGGAACAAAUUAUUGUCCACGACCCAGGGACAGUGUCCUCCCUUGGGGCCUCCGACUCAGUGGCCCAGAGCUGAUCGGUCUGGAAUCCCCUCCUGUUUUCCUGACGUGUCCCAUCCCGGACACUGCUCAUUCACGCCUCCCAGCAGCUCCCAGGCCUCCCCUGGCUUGGCGCAAACGCGGAAUUCCGCCGAGCUGAGAAGAGAAAGCCGCCUCCAGGGAGCCCUCGAGAUGCACUGCCGUCUCCCAGGGAAGCGUUUCCUGCAGAUGCUGGAGCCUGCAGGACGCGGAGAUCAGGGCCGGUGGGCAGGACCGUGGACAGCGGCGCCCGGGGCCCUGCGCUGCGCCAGGAGUCGGGUCAGCAGGUGGCGCCCAUCCCCGCAGCGGGCAGCGCCGACCUCGGGCGCGUCAUUCAUUUAUGUCACAGGCGGGCGGCUGGAUGACUGAGCCAGGUGUGGGAGAGGUGGUCUGACCUCGCGGAGCAUGAUCUGACUCGAGUGGAGGGAUAGAGCAGCGUGGUUGGGACGGACAGACAGACAGACACAGGCGAUCACCCUCAGCAGGAUCCCUGCACGUCAGACGCCGAGGUCGCUGGCGCCGCUCGGUGGUGUCAGCGCCGUCUGCGUGCAGCUCCUUGUGGACGGGCUCGCGUCUGCCGCGGGUGACCCCUCCCCCCGGCAGAGGGAGAGACGGAGCCGCGAGCAGGCCGGCGCCCCACUUGCCCCAGGGCGCCCGCCGGGGUCCCCUUGACCCGCCUGAGCGAGAGCCUGUCGGCCCAGCGGCGUCCUCCCUGGUCGUCCCUCGGCCGUGACGAGCCGUCGUCACAGGUUGACCAUGAGGCCGGCCGGUCCACCAGGUGCCCCUGUGGCCCUGCCACGUGCAGCAGGACGAGUGACCACGGGUGCAGCCCCGUGUGCGAGUGAGACGGGUGCAGCCUCAGGCCACUGUGCCACCUUCAAGCAGGGUGCCCUGAGCCAUGGCCACCACUCUGCUUUCAGGGCCAAGCGCCCAGGGGCCGCCCGGAGCGUUGUCUGCCUCUCAAGCAGCCCCUGGCCUCUGGGUGGAAGGGCAGGGCUGCCGGGGAGCAGACACAGGCCCGCAGGUGGGUCCUGGAGCAAGGCCCAGGCCGGGAGGACCCCACACAGGUCCCCCCAGCCCACUGCGCACAGGCCACUUCCCCUGCUGCCCAGGGCAGGGGACGCAGCCCCUGGCACAGUCCUGGGCAGGAUGUUCCAGAGCCAAGUGUCCUUCAGCUCUUCUCUUUCUACGCCCUUUUCUUACCCUUUCAGUGCUCAAAGAUUAACCUUAAAACUCAGUACGUUUAAAAGCUUGCUGUUCUCCAUCUAGACGCACCUCCUCAUCUGGAACCUUCCACAUCCUCAAGCCAACAGGAGAGCUCAUUGUCUAGAAGAUGGAAACUCGCCCUGACUCAGGUCCACUCCGUCUCUCCUGUGGACACUUUACUAAAGUGUGCUUACAGCCUUCCACCUCCUUGAAGGGGCUUCCCAAGUGGCUAAGGGGGCCAAGCAUCUGCCUGCAAUGCAGGAGGCACAGGAGACUCGGACUGGAUCCCUGAGAGGGCAGGAUCCCCUGGAGGAGGGCGUGGCGACCCACUGCAGUAUUCUUGCCUGGAGAACCUCGCGGACAGAAGAACCCGGUGGGCCGCAGGCCAUGGAGUGGCAGAGAGUCGGACACGACUGAAGUGACCGAGCACACACGCCUUCUUCAAAGAACAACACCGACUUUCUUGUUUCUGAUUAUAAUGGCCCAUUGGGGUUCAUUGUAGAAGCUUAUGGAAACAAAAAAGAGCAAAAGAAGGAAAUAAAAACCGUUCCAAA